CCUGACCUCCUUGGGCCCCGCCCCCGACACUGCCCUUCCCGGGACGGGACCCCCACUCCGCGCCCGGGCGCCCCCUGCACCCCAGGAGCCCCACUCCUUCCUUAGUGCGAGUGCGCCCGAGCGUUGACUUUCGGGGACUCCCUCUCCCCCACCUCGCAGAGACCUGCUGUGGCUCCCUGCCCCCCGAUCCGGCAGCUCAGACGUGGCUGCUGGGGGGAGGGGGGGGGCGGAGGGAGGAGGGCGCGGUAUAAAGGGCCGGAGGCUGCGCUGGCGGAGACCCGAGACGUGGCGCGCCCACCCUGCCGGCCUCAUCUUCAGAGGGUGGCUUUCAAAUUUCCCUUGAAUCAGGGAGCGCAUGAACACCCCCACCGCCGUCCCGUCUUACCGCAGUGACAUAGGAUACCCCUACGGCCCGCAGUGACAAAACCGCUCGAGUGUCCGGGUCUUGGGAUCUGUCACACCUGGAAGGGCCCAGUGUGCCCUAACCGUCCUAUUGAGUCCAUCUAUAAAACAAGAGACUCGCGUCCCUGUCUGGAAGGUCAUGGCUCACACAAUAGCCACGCAGAUCCAAGAGGAGGACAAUAGGAAAUACAAGGUGAUGUUGAUUUGCCUUUAUAGUCUUUGUAGGAUAUUUCCAAAUGAAAUAUUCUUAUAUAGAAGAACUAAAUAAAAGCAGUUCUGAAGGUUUGCAUGGAAGGAAGCCCAGCCCCAAGCCUCCAGUUUCUCUCUCUCACUAGUGAUGGAGCUGCUGUGGGUACUCAAGGCCCCACUCGGAUUUCCUGUAAGACAUCCAGGGGAAAUCCACAUCGCUCGUGACAUUGCCAGCUCAGCGGAGCAGAGCCUGGAGGGGGCUGGAGAGACCACCACCACCACCUAGGAGAGGUGAAGAAGCCGCUGUAGGUCAGGAGUGCCCUCAGAGGGAACCCUGGAUAUUUGUGAUCUUUAAUGACUGGACGAGAUUGUAUUAACAACAUGAAAAAUCUCAGUCCAGAAAUCGUGGCUUCUGGGCGUUUACAUCUUAAACCGGAUUUUUGUACAGAUGAGCCAGGAGACACAUCACAAUCAUCAACCACAAAUGUUCUUUUGCUCUGGUUUUCCUUGUUUUAGAUCUGUGGCAUUUUAAGAAUUAAUAAAACUGCUAGAUCAACAA